rnacentral:rRNA from 1 species
UACGUAGGGGGCAAGCGUUGUCCGGAUUUAUUGGGCGUAAAGAGCGUGUAGGCGGCCAGGUAGGUCUGCUGUGAAAACUCGAGGCUCAACCUCGAGAUGUCGGCGGAAACCAUCUGGCUAGAGUCCGGAAGAGGAGAGUGGAAUUCCUGGUGUAGCGGUGAAAUGCGCAGAUAUCAGGAAGAACACCCGUGGCGAAGGCGGCUCUCUGGGCCAUUACUGACGCUGAGGAGCGAAAGCGUGGGGAGCGAACAGG